rnacentral:rRNA from 1 species
ACGCUCGACACCUACGGGAGCAGCAGUGGGGAAUAUUGCACAAUGGGGGAAACCCUGAUGCAGCGAUGCCGCGUGAAGGAAGAAGUAUCUCGGUAUGUAAACUUCUAUCAGCAGGGAAGAAAAUGACGGUACCUGACUAAGAAGCCCCGGCUAACUACGUGCCUGCAGCCGCGGUAAUCUGAGCGGGCUGGCAAGGC